rnacentral:lncRNA from 1 species
AAGGGCCACCUCCAUAUUUAAUAUGAAUUUCUUUAAACCACCAGAGCUGGGCCUCAUUUCUCCCAUACUCUGUGGGAGUUCUGACUUUCAUCCAAGAUCUUCCCUAUGACUUUAAGAGCAGAAAGACAUGGUCCUUGUGGUGUCUCCCAAACUGGACUCCUCUUAGUUACAAGUGGACUAUGACUGACUUAUUAAAAUGAUCCUCAUCUUUCCAGAAACACUUGAAUGCUGCCACCAGUAUAUUUUUUAGCUGAGACCUUCCUCUUCCUUUUUUCCCCAUAACCAGAAUCUGUGGUCUGUGCUAACAUUGCUUCUCCAUGAAAAUUUCACUCCCACUCCACUCUUUCUACCUUUCUGCAGAUGCCUGCACUUUCACCGCAAAUCAUGAAAUGAUUACAUAUUUUUAACAGCAUUAUUGAGAUUAAAUUUAUUUACCAUAAAGCUCACCCAGGUAGCAGUGGCUGCCAGCUAUACCCUUUCAUAGAAUUAGCCUUUUCUUUAGGCUUUGCUCUUCUCAAAACAAAUACUUCCCUUUUUGUUCUCUUGUUUCCUCUUGUAAGUCCCUAGGAUUAUUAAACAUAGGGCUUGAAUUUCACUUUGAAAUGUUUUCCACGUUUGUGGUAAUAAUGUCACCUGAGGGUUUCUACUAGAUUAAGUAAAGGAAGAAACAGAGUGGGAGGGGAAUGAAGUGUGACAAACUCUCUUAUAAAAGAUAAGGCAAAAAUGGCAGUCAAUUAUUGUUUCUGAUAAAUGUAAUGUCAUCCAAUAAUUUAUAGUAAUUCUGAGAACUAUAGCCAGUAAAAUGAAUUUGCAUAGUCUGUCUUCUUUAGGACACUGAUUUUCAAACUUGAAUGCACACUGGAAUCACCCGAGGAAUUUAAAAAAACACCGACACCUGGAUCCCACACAAGGACCCUGAUUUAAAUGGAUAAUCCUCACCAGCCUCAGAGUUCAUGUCUGAAAGUAUAGAGGCGGCAGAUAACCAAUGCAAGUGAACAUGGGUGAAAAUGGAUGAAAGUCCAUCUGGGCUGUCUGCAAAAUGAGAAGAUUCUAGACACUGUUUCUUAAAUACCUUGGAGGCGAGGAUCACAAAAUGCUCUCAGAAGUUUAUGAAAGCUAUGGAGUCUCCGGAAAUAUUCAGAAUUUUGCAUGUUCUGGAUGAAGCCUUCCACCAUUUUAAAGCUCCUUUUAUGGAUAUUUCUGGUUUUGGUCUCAGAUUUUCAUUCUCCAAACAUUCUCUUUAGAUGACCACAUUCACUUUCAAGUAUUCAUGCCAAAUAAAUCUUCAUUUCCAGCCCAGACCUCCCUCCAAACUCUUGGUUUGUUUAGUCACUUGCAACACAGAUUAUUCAUCCAGAUUUCCAUGGGCAUCUCAAAAUCAACACAUCCAAAAUGAAGUUAUCAUCCCUGAUAAUCCUCCUAGCUCCUGUCCCAUUCAUCUCCCUCCCAUCUCUCACCCAUAAAGAAUUAACUACUGAUGUUUCUCACUAACCAACCCAUAAUAAUGACCUGCAUUAAUUAAUCCAUGUGCAAUUCAGAAUUACUUACAUUCAUUUAUCCAUGUGAUAUUUUCACUCAUUAAUCACCAUCGUCUGCAUAUGUAAACAGGAACAACAACAUCCACCUAUCCCAGCAGGGGUUUUGCAAUUACUUUAAAGCCUUUUCAAAUAUAUUUUUGUGUGAUUAAAAUGAUGGAGAUAUUUCAAAUGAAUUCAAGUAUAAAAUGCAAAAUAUUCCAACUUCAUAAACUGUUUACUUCUGGCUUAGAAAAUGUUAAUAUUUUUACUCAACCCAUCUGGCUCUGGAGAUGCUGUGUGUGCUUGAUAAUUGUAUGUGAAAAUUAUUAUUUGCAUCUUUAAAAAUUACUUGAGGAAUGCUAUUUAUUAAACUUGUUAUUCCUAUCUAUUUUUUGACAACAUAAUACAACUUUAAAUUCAAAAGAAAAAUUGACAAGACAUAUUUUAGCAGUUUAAAAUGAACAUCACAGAUACAAAAUGAUCAAAGUAAAAUAUUAUUAGCUGUAGAUGACUCAAAUAUUUCCUCGUCUUACUGUCUUUUGUUUUGAUGUGAUUUCCUUCCAUCCUUAAAAAAUCCUGUAGCACCAUCUGCUCCUAUAACACUUUGGCAUGCUUAAAAAUUUCAUUUCCAGACUCGGCAGUUUUGAAAUACUUCCAUGGACAUUUCUUAAAGAAAAUAAGUUGGAAGAAUUUCCAUUCCUCCCAGCUUGUUUCUUAAUAAACAGCAGACGAAGUACUCAAGAAACACAGAGCUAUAUAAAUGUUUUGUUAUAAUCAGACAUUUCCCUUCUGAUUUUCCCUCUGACCCUGUGGCUAUAUUAUGCCUGAGGAAACAGUAUUUUAUAUGCUAUGUGCACAGUUUAUGCAACAAUUUUUUAAUAUGCAGAUCUGGUUUUAUAAUCUGAAUUCUAAAAUGUAAUGAAUUUCCAUGAAGUGUAUGUUUCAUGGAUAAGCCAGCAUUUAAUAAAUGACUAGAUUACCCAAACACUCCAAGGGAAGUUGGAGACUAAGCAAGUAAUAUCAGUAAAAAUAAUCCAAUAAACUAAAUAGAUUCUCCUUCUACGAAAUUUAACCAUACAUUUAGAAAAAAUUAGACUUCCAGUUUUUGACAGCGGUAAUGGAAAAUUAAGUGGCUCAUUUUUUCAAUGUGUAUGACUCCAAGUCGUUGAAACUGAUACAGAAGUAUAAAUAAGAGGUAUUAAGUGAUGCUGAAACUGUGGUAGGAGAAAUAGCAAUGGACUAAUGGCCUCCUCAGGGAAGCCUAAAUAUAGGUGUUGCAUUGUUUACAAAUAUAUUCAUCCUUUUAGUCACUUAUUCAGCAUAUAUCAAACACCUACUAUGUCUAGAUUUCAUGUUAGUUUCUGCAAUGAAUCAAUAAUUUCCUUGUCAUUUUAAAAUAAUAUUUAUCUAUCAUCUUAGAGAUGCAACUUGGUCCCCUUCAUCCAGCAAUUUCUACUCUAACCCGUUUUUCACAUAAUAGCCAGAGUAAAUUUUGUAAAGUUACAAUUGUAUUGUAGGAUAAAGGUCUAACUCCUUAAUGUGGUUUACAAUGCCCUUUACAAAAGUCUCACUUUUACUUACCCUCUUAGUCUCUGCCUUUCUACACUUACUGUCUAGCCAUACUGAAUUACUUCGCUGUCACUCGAGACUUAGUUCUUUGCAUGCUCUUUCCUCCACCAAAAAUAUUUUUUUUUCUCCUCUCCUUACCUGGCUUCUUUUUUAAAAACUUUUAUUUAUUUAUUUAUUUAUUUUGAGACAGAGUCUCUCUCUAUCACCCAGGUGGGAGUGCAGGGGUGCAAUCUCGGGCUCACUGCAACCUCUGCCUUCCAGGUUCAAGCGAUCCUCCUGCCUCACCCUCCCAAGUAGCUGGGAUUACAGGCAUGCACCACCAUGCCUGGCUAAUUUUUGUAGUUUUAGUAGAGACGGGGUUUCACCAUGUUGGCCAGGCUGGUCUCAAACUCCUGACCUCAAGUGAUCUGCCUGAGGCCUCCCAAAGUACUGGGAUUACAGGCGUGAGCCACCGUUCCCGGCCUCUUUACCUGACUUCUUUUCUUUACCCUUUAGUUUCUGACAUAAACAUCUUAUCAGUGAAACCUUCCCUAAGGAACAAUGCCAAGUCAGAUGACCAUAGUGACCUAUGCUUUCCACCUUGCAGCACAUAACACAGCCAGUUAUUUAUUUCCUUGCCUCUUCUACUGGACUGUAAACCCCUUGAGGACAGGAAAUAUACUUUGCUUGCCCUGGAAACCUCGUUAUGUGAAAUAGCACUUUGGCAUACCUUGGUAAAAAAAAGGCUGAAUGAGGAAGUGGAAGAGUGAGCCAUGCAUUCUUCCUGUCUCUCUGAGUGAGGUCAUUCAAAAUGGCAAGGGUGUAAAGACGAGGGAGGCAUUCAUUUGCCUUGCCACUUGACUACAUGGGUUGGAAUAUUUGAUGGUAAAUGCACAUACUUAAUCAUACUCUUUUUUAAACACUACAUUUAAAUUCUAAUUUACUAUUAAAAUAUUUCCAACUUAAAUCAGUAAUGCCUUAAUUUUUCUUAUGGAGAAGAGUGUGUGACUUACUCUUCUUGUUUACUUUAGUGCAUUAUGAUGGACUGAAAUACAAAACAAUUCCAAGAUCAACUUAAAUAUAUUUUUCUUGUUUUGGAAGCAGAAUAAUAAUAACAAAUUAACUAAUCUAGAGAAAUAAAUAUGUUCAGUAGAGAGAUAAUUGCAUUUGCUUGGGUAAAAUAUUUUGGCUUGCUCAGUAUCACAUGUAUACAGCUGUAUUUCUAAAACAACUUUAUUCAUAAAUAACAUUUCUUUAAAUAUUUAUUGAUAAUGAUAUGGCAAUCUAGUAUACUAUGACUUUAACCUCUAUAGAUUCUAAGAUCAAAUAUGUAAAUGAAAUAAACAUACAUCUAUGCAUAUUCAACUAGGAAGCAUUGUAUUGAAACACUAAUGAUAGUAUUAAGGGUUGAAUUUUAUUUUCAUUUUUUUACUUUUCUAUAUUUUUCCAAACUUUGAGAAUGAGCACAUAGAAAAGAAAACCAAUUAACAUUUUUAUAUAUGAGAUAGAGCAGAAAAGAUAAUGACAUUGUUCAAGAGAGAAAUAGUAGAUAUGGGUGUUCCAUAAGUUUCUUGCUAGCUUUAAAACUAAUUUUAUGAGUUCUCAAUUGUACUGUCAAAAAAUAUAUAGAUUUCAAUCCAGUAGAGAUUCAAAUAGAAAUAUCUGUCAAAUAUUCUUUCUUAAUAGAUAAUUAAUGAAAAAGCAUACAAUAUGACUGUCAUAAAAGGUGAAUGCCUUUCACCUCAUGGGCACUUACGUAUCUAAUGAAUCCAUGAACUGGUCAAUGAAUAGAAACUGAAGUUUGUGUAUUAAAAUCCUGUCUCUGCUGCCCUCCAGUGGCUUAACUCUGAAGAACUUCAAAAGAGAAAAUCAAGUGCCAUCUAUUCCCAGAUCCUUAUUUGUGGUGAGUAUGAAUGCUCAGGUGUGUGAGCUUGGGAUUUUUCCUGGACAGUUUUGUAUUUGUCCUAUUAGAUAUUACCUUGGUAUAUCAAGACCAAAUUCCCAAGACUAAAUGCAUUACCCAUCUCCUCCCACCUGCAGAAGGGUAAGCUGGAGCAACUGCCAUAAAUGGUGCCAAUAAAUACUAGCAUUUGUUCGUGGACAGUUUAUAGAGACUUUUCAAUUGUGUUAUCACAGAAAACUCCUAGUAAGAAAUAGUGGUGAUAGCAAUUGCAUCUCGUUUAUUAGAAAUUUCUCUGAUUCCCUUUACAAAGUGGGUGAUGGUGUCAGUGUUAUCUUUAGGUAUGAAAACCCUAUGAACAGCUUAUAGUCUAAAACUUACAAUGUGGUGCUGUAGAAAGAUGUUAGCUUAGCAGCAAACAUCAUCAAUAAAUAUCUUCUGCAAUCUGGUAACCAUUAGAAUUAUAUAUUUUUUAUUGCCCUGGACUAUGAGAAUUACAUUCUGAAUUCAUUUGGUAUCUUGUGUAGGCAUAGGAGAAAACCUUUUUGUAUCUAAGAAAAUGGGGUUUUUGACAUUGACUAUCACCUGUUCCCAGAUCUCCUAGGACUCAGACCUCAGACCUCACACCCCUGAAAGCUGAAACCUCGGGGGUUUCAGAUAGUGAUCUCUAAUUGAGUUCUUGUCUAGAUGAAUUCUUAAAAUAUUUUACCUUUCCCUGUUAUUGUGGUUCUGGAAUAUUCUUUUGGUUUUAGCCAAGGAAAUCUCUCAAUUUCUUCAAAAGUUUGCUACUGUGCCUCUAGGUGGUACAAUUAUUUCCAUCUUUUUGCUCAUUUGCAGCCUGUCUUUUUGGAUUAUAGUCUCUCACUACUUAAGCAAUUUCUUCCUUUUCUGUAGUAUGUCUCAUUUGUCCUUCAUAAUAAUGAAUGUCUGUGUUUUUUAUUCUCAGGUAGAUUACUGGAAUUUUACGUAUAUUUUAUUGGUGUUCUCAUGAAUGCUUGGAUUUAACAAUUGUACCAUUUUCCAACGUUCUAUGUCAUAGUAAUUUUGCAACUUGUUUUCAAUUAAUAAUAUGUUGAGAAUAGUGUACAUAAAAUGCAUUUUAGAACUAAUCCUAAGAUAAAGUGUCUCACCAAAGCAUAUUUUAUAACAAUAAAGCAGUAGAAAAAAUAAGUUAACUAAAUGUCCAACAAGUGGAGAUGUAUUAUAUAAAUUCAGUACCAUCAAAAAUGUAAUAUUACUCAGUAAUUAAAAUUAUAUUUUAUUUAAAUGUUCAUUGGCUUGUGAAAAGUCUAUAACAUACCAAGUAGAAGUUAAAGUUAUAUUUUGUAAGUUAAAAAAAUUUUAAAAGGUGAG